ACUCCAGAGGGGGAGGGGCAGCCCCACCCUGCAGCUCGACCACAGCACCCAUUGUGUGUGCUGGGCCCUUGAAGCUCUAACCCAGCUCAAGUUUCUGGAAAACCAGUCUUCCGUAGAGCUGAAUAUUUAAUGGCACUAGAGCCAAUAGGCAACCGUGAAGCAGGCAGUUGGGCUCUCGAGCACCUGCAGCUCCGGAAGUCGGCGAAUGAAUGAGAGAAGGGCUAGGCGGCCGCCUCCACUCCUCCUUACUGCGUCCGCUCUGGAGUUAACAGACACAGAAACCAUGACGUAACCAACAGUGAUCUUCAAAGCACGUGACUGUUGGUUGAGCAACGGCACUGACAGAUCAGAAAAGCUGCCAGCUAUGCCCUAACUUCAUAGCUACCAGCUCUGUAUGGAGUUUUAACUUGCCAUAAACUACAGAGAACUUACCAGCCCCUGAGAAAUAAAGGAAAUCUUCCAUUUCUCAAUCUCUCCAAGCUGUACAAAGAGCAGUGUCACACAGUUCACAAAAGAUAAUUUUAAUUGGUCUAUAAACACAUAAAAAAAUUACAU